rnacentral:rRNA from 1 species
AUGAAUCCGAAGAUAUCAGAUUUUGGAAUUGCGAGACUUUUUGGGCAAGACCAGACCCAUGGAAUAACGAACCGUGUUAUCGGCACAUACGGAUAUAUGGCGCCAGAGUACGUGAUGCGUGGGAACUACUCCGUGAAAUCGGAUUCAUUCAGCUUCGGCGUCAUGGUUCUUGAGAUUGUAACGGGGAAGAAGAACAAUGACUACAGUAAUUCUGAGGAAUCUCAAGAUCUUCUGAAUGCGAUAUGGGAGCGUUGGAUGGCAAGAACGGUGUUGGACAUGAUGGAUCCGAGCAUGAACACUAGCUUCUCAGAGAGCGGCGUGCUAAGAUGCAUCCAUAUAGGGCUUCUGUGUGUUCAAGAAAACCCGGCUGAUCGACCGCUUAUGUCGUCUGUGGUCAUGAUGCUCGGAAGUGAUACUGUGUCUCUAUCUGCCCCAUCUAAGCCGGCGUUCUAUGCCAAGAAGGCUAGCAACAACUUGGGAAUCACGCCAACUUAG